UACGUAGGGGGCUAGCGUUGUCCGGAAUCAUUGGGCGUAAAGAGCGUGUAGGCGGUCCGGUAAGUCCGUUGUGAAAGUCAGGGGCUCAACCCUUGAAUGCCGGCGGAUACUGUCGGGCUAGAGUCCGGAAGAGGCGAGUGGAAUUCCCGGUGUAGCGGUGAAAUGCGUAGAGAUGUGGAGGAACACCAGUGGCGAAGGCGACUCUUUGGUCUGUAACUGACGCUGAGGCGCGAAAGCGUGGGGAGCAAACAGG
rnacentral:rRNA from 1 species